GACGAACGCUGGCGGCGUGCUUAACACAUGCAAGUCGAACGGAAAGGCCCUGCUUUUGUGUGGUGCUCGAGUGGCGAGGGGGUGAGUAAAACGUGAGUAACCUGCCCUUGACUUUGGGAUAAAUUCAGGAAACUCGGGCUAAUACCGGGUAGGAUAUCCUGCUGCAUGGUGUUGGUUGGAAAAAUUCGGCCGUUGUGGAUGGUCUCGCGGCUUAUCCGCUUGUUGGUGGGGUAGUGGCUUACCAAGGCUUUGACGGGUAGCCGGCCUGAGAGGGUGACCGGCGACAUUGGGACUGAGAUACGGCCCAGAAGGCUACGGGAGGCAGCAGGGGGGAAUAUUGCAGAACGGGGGGAAGCCAGAUGCAGCAACGCCGCGUGCGGGAUGACGGCCUUCGAGUUGUAAACCGCUUUCGCCUGUGACGAAGCGAGAGUGACGGUAAUGGGUAAAGAAGCACCGGCUAACUACGUG
rnacentral:rRNA from 1 species